rnacentral:piRNA from 1 species
UACCCAAAUAUUCUAAAAAAU